GAUGAACGCUGGCGGUGUGCCUAAUACAUGCAAGUCGUACGCAUUCUCGUUUCUGAUUGACGGUGCUUGCACCUAAUUGACGAGACAUUGGAAUGAGUGGCGGACGGGUGAGUAACGCGUGGGUAACCUGCCCAGAAGUGGGGGAUAACAUUUGGAAACAGAUGCUAAUACCGCAUAAAAGUCAAAACCACAUGGUUUUGAUUUAAAAGAUGGCCUUUGUGCUAUGACUUCUGGAUGGACCCGCGGUGUAUUAGCUAGUUGGUAAGGUAACGGCUUACCAAGGCAAUGAUACGUAGCCGAACUGAGAGGUUGAUCGGCCACAAUGGGACUGAGACACGGCCCAUACUCCUACGGGAGGCAGCAGUAGGGAAUCUUCCACAAUGGGCGCAAGCCUGAUGGAGCAACACCGCGUGAGUGAAGAAGGGUUUCGGCUCGUAAAACUCUGUUGUUAAAGAAGAACGUAUCUAAGAGUAACUGCUUAGGUAGUGACGGUAUUUAACCAGAAAGCCACGGCUAACUACGUGCCAGCCGCCGCCGUAA
rnacentral:rRNA from 1 species